ensembl:lncRNA
UCUCAAUCAAAAUAGUUCACAGGGUAUUUAGAGAUCAACACAUAAGUAGUUUUAAAAUGUGAUCAAAUAAUAACAUACAGACACUCCAUAAAACAUUGAGAAGCAGCGAGUGACGAGUCCAGUUCCAUUUAACCAGGGAGAUGUGAGGUCAAACGAGACCUGGAGGGCUGACAGACACUGUCCUGUUCCCCCCAGUUCCAUUUAACCAGGAGAUGUGAGGUCAAACUAGACCUGGAGGGCUGACAGACACUGUCCUGUUCCCCUGUGGCCCCCUAUUCCCCUGUGAGGUCAAACUAGACCUGGAGGGCUGACAGACACUGUCCUGUUCCCCUGUGGCCCCCUAUUCCCCGUGGGCCUCCUAUUCCCCUGUGAGGUCAAACCCUGGAGGGCUGACAGAAUGCCUCCCGUGGGCCUCCUGUUCCCCUGUGAGGUCAAACUAGACCUGGAGGGCUGACAGACACUGCCUCCCCUGUGGCCUCCUGUUCCCCUGUGAGGUCAAACUAGACCUGGAGGGCUGACAGACACUGCCUCCCCUGUGGCCUCCUGUUCCCCUGUGAGGUCAAACUAGACCUGGAGGGCUGACAGACACUGCCUCCCCUGUGGGCCUCCC